UGGGUCGAGAUAUUAUUAGCCCUUGAACAUCUAUAUGUUCAAGACUUAAUACCUUGCUUGUCUUUUCUAUAUCCAGUAAAUGGGAUCUUGAUCAUUUUAUUUAUGCAUGAGAUAAGAUUUACAAGUUUUAUAUAAUCUAAAAAUCAUACAGAUCAAAGAAUUCUUCUCUGUAUUACUUAUUUAUCUUUGACUCACAAAAAUGACCAAGUUGGCAAUGCCAGAAAUAUG
rnacentral:lncRNA from 1 species